UAUCACUUUUGCAGAAACAGAUUUUGGAUAAUUAAUUUGUUCUGUCGUGUAUUUGAUUUUAAUCACCUCAGUUACCUAACAAGAUUCUCUUGUCGCUUUCUACUAUAUCGAUAUUUUGGUAAUACGAUAACAAAACCAAGCGCAAGCUUUAUGACGGUAAUCAGCAACAAAAUAAAAAUACAAAUAGAAAAAUAAAAUUAUCUUUAUUAAGAUGGAGAAUCCUAAAAAAGUUUAGGACACGGUUGUUCUACGUAAUUGUAGUCUCUUUAUAGUGCUCAACUUGUACAUAUGGAUAACUAUGAAAAAUUAAAAUCCACAUUGAUUAACAAUCUGAUAAUUUGAUCUUAUUUUUAACACAAGCACCCUCAGACGACUAGUCAGAGAAAUUCUUAGCUCGAUUUUUUCGAUUUUGUUUAUUGUUUUAGUCAGCGCAAAUUGUAUAGUUCAUCUAAUAUUUAUUAUGUACAUGAGUAGAGAUGCUGAGACUAAUCAUAAGCAGUUUACUUAUUGAUCCAUCUCUUGGAUACAUAAUAAG
rnacentral:lncRNA from 1 species